UCGGGUUGUAAAGCACUUUUGUCCGGAAAGAAAACUUCGGGGCUAAUACCUCUGGAGGAUGACGGUACCGGAAGAAUAAGCACCGGCUAACUACGUGCCAGCAGCGCGGUAAUCGUAGGGUGCGAGCGUUAAUCGGAAUUACUGGGCGUAAAGCGUGCGCAGGCGGUCUGUUAAGACAGAUGUGAAAUCCCCGGGCUUAACCUGGGAACUGCAUUUGUGACUGGCAGGCUAGAGUAUGGCUGAGGGGGGUAGAAUUCCACGUGUAGCAGUGAAAUGCGUAGAGAUGUGGAGGAAUACCGAUGGCGAAGGCAGCCCCCUGGGCCAAUACUGACGCUCAUGCACGAAAGCGUGGGGAGCAAACAGGAUUAGAUACCCUGGUAGUCCACGCCCUAAACGAUGUCAACUAGUUGUUGGGGAUUCAUUUCCUUAGUAACGUAGCUAACGCGUGAAGUUGACCGCCUGGGGAGUACGGUCGCAAGAUUAAAACUCAAAGGAAUUGACGGGGACCCGCACAAGCGGUGGAUGAUGUGGAUUAAUUCGAUGCAACGCGAAAAACCUUACCUACCCUUGACAUGGUCGGAACCCUGGUG
rnacentral:rRNA from 1 species